rnacentral:rRNA from 1 species
UACACGCUGUGACUAGCAUAUCAAUAAGCGGAGGAAAAGAAACUAACAAGGAUUCCCCUAGUAACGGCGAGUGAAGCGGGAAGAGCUCAAAUUUGAAAUCUUAAAGGGUUUCCCUUUACGAAUUGUAGUUUAAAGAAGUGUUUUCUGUUGAGGUUUUGGUAAAAGUUCUUUGGAAUAGGACAUCAUAGAAGGGUGAGAAUCCCGUAUUUGACCUUUACUUUCAACUUUGUGAUACACUUUCAAAGAGUCGGAUUGUUUGGGAAUGCAGUCCAAAAUGGGUGGUAAAUUUCAUCUAAAGCUAAAUAUUGGCGAGAGACCGAUAGCGAACAAGUACCGUGAGGGAAAGAUGAAAAGAACUUUGAAAAGAGAGUUAAACAGUACGUGAAAGUUGUCAAAAGGGAAGCGUUUGACACCAGUGUUGUUUUUCUGAAAAUCAAUUAAAGAACUGUUUAUGCUAAGCUGUUUAGACUUUAUCAGCUAUCUGUUUAGUUUUGAGCUUUUCUUUAAUGCACUUUUCAGUUAACAAGUCAACAUCAAUUUCUUUUGCUGUAAAAAAGCUUGAGGAAGGUGGCUUGAGAUUCGUCUUAAGUGUUUAUAGCCUCUUGCCUAUGCAGUCGGAGAGAUUGAGGUCUGCAGCGUAGAUCCUUCGGGGCUAAAUGCAUUUGUGCUAAGUUAUAGCAUUUUAUAGACAACUUGUUGACUAUGAUUUGUCUUGUAGCUUACUCGCUUAUGCUAUUUUACCUACGCUUAGGAUGUUGAUAUGCAUGACUGAUAU